rnacentral:rRNA from 1 species
CCUACGGGUGGCAGCAGUGAGGAAUAUUGGUCAAUGGCCGCGAGCCUGAACCAGCCAAGUCGCGUGAAGGAUGACUGCCCUACGGGUUGUAAACUUCUUUUAUAUAGGACUAAAGUGAGUCACGUGUGCCUUUUUGUAUGUACUUUAUGAAUAAGGAUAGGCUAACCCCGUGCCAGCAGCCGCGGUAAUCCGGAGGGUCCGAGCGUUAUCCGGAUUUAUUGGGUUUAAAGGGGUGGAAGAUGGGUUGUUAAGUAAGUUGUGAAAGUUUGCGGCUCAACCGGAAAAUUGCAAUUGAGACUGGCAGCCUUGAGUGCAGUAGAGGUAGGCGGAAUGCGUGGUGUAGCGGUGAAAUGCUUAGAUAUCACGAAGAACUCCGAUUGCGAAGGCAGCCUACUAAACUGCCACUGACGCUGAUGCUCGAAAGUGUGGGUAUCAAACAGGAUUAGAUACCCCUGUAGUC